rnacentral:rRNA from 1 species
AGUUUGAUCCUGGCUCAGAUUGAACGCUGGCGGCAUGCCUUACACAUGCAAGUCGAACGGUAACGGGCCUUCGGGUGCCGACGAGUGGCGAACGGGUGAGUAAUGCAUCGGAACGUACCUUUCAGUGGGGAUAACGUAGCGAAAGUUACGCUAAUACCGCAUAUUCUGUGAGCAGGAAAGCAGGGGAUCGCAAGACCUUGCGCUGAUUGAGCGGCCGAUGUCAGAUUAGCUAGUUGGUGAGGUAAAGGCUCACCAAGGCGACGAUCUGUAGCGGGUCUGAGAGGAUGAUCCGCCACACUGGAACUGAGACACGGUCCAGACUCCUACGGGAGGCAGCAGUGGGGAAUUUUGGACAAUGGGGGCAACCCUGAUCCAGCCAUGCCGCGUGAGUGAAGAAGGCCUUCGGGUUGUAAAGCUCUUUCAGCCGGGAAGAAAUCGUAUGGGCUAAUACCCUGUGCGGAUGACGGUACCGGCAUAAGAAGCACCGGCUAACUACGUG